CACAAACCACAUGAGGGCCCUCGGUGGUUCAGAUUAACAUCUAUGGUUGAUGCAUCGGUUGGUAACUUGUGUGAACUUGACGACAGAGAUAUCCAAGCAUUCAUUUCGGCAUUCGAGGAAGGAGCGGGAAGCAGAGAAAGGCAAGACAAUAAAGUGAGAACCUCCGCCUGCGGGUGUAGCUAGCGAGCCAACCGGCCAGUCACGCUCACAGACCGUUGCAGCAGACGACGGCUGAGUGGCAGACGAAAGCCAGACCCACAGCUGGACAUCUGAGGAAACCAACGGGCGUACGAGGCUCUCUUCACUGGUCGGAGGAAUUCCCCCAAAAAUGGAUGGGAAGUUUGACCCAAACAAGCUGUGAAGAAAUGGAACAACCUACCACCCACACAUCUUUCAGAACUUGGGGAUCCUCCAACAGGGGAAGGGGUGGAGGCGAGAGGGCUGACCGCUGCUACCUGGCAGUGGUACAGUCAGACGGAUGCUGCACUCAGCAGGUCCGCGAGCAGGAGGAGGGAAGAGGAGGCAGCGAGCAGGAGGCAGCGGCGAGGGAGGAGGAGCCAGCGAGCAGGAGGCAGCGGCGAGGGAAGAGGAGCCAGCGAGCAGGA